CUUAUACCUUUGUUCACCACCUUCCCCCAAUCUCCUCACAGCUACAGGUACCCCAUUCCCAAGCACUACCUUAUACACAAUCCCUAACCCACUUUUCCCUAACACAUAUGCAGAAGCCCUUAACAAUUCAUCAAGUUCAAAGCUAAAACCUUUAUCAAUUGCCACCAAUUCACCUUCUCCUUCACCUUCCCCUCUCCCAUUUCCCUCUCUUCCUCCUUUCUCACUCUCUUCCAUCUCUGAAUCAUCACUCUUAAACCCUUUUACACAACCUAAAGCCAAACACAAACAACACGAAUUCGAUCUUUCGUUGCUUCCAUUACCACCAAAUUUUCUCUUCAAAGUACAACUACAUCCAUUAUUCUUAUCCUUUUUCUUCCAAUACACAUACACAACAACAAGACCAAUCAAUGCCACAGCAGCAGCAUCAGCCACUGUUAUAAUAAUAAUCAAACCAGGACUCAAUCCUUUCUUUGACCGGUUCAUGCGUUGUCGAGUUGAACCAGGACUAGCUCCUGGUUCACUCGAUGCUGAACCGGUACAAUCUUUCUGCAGAGGAAACCCACAUAGUUUCGGAUUAUUCAGAAACGCCGUCGGUCCUUGAUUCGAAAACGACCCGGUUUGAGGAAUUUCACCGCUUAGAUCAUUGCUCCGAAGAUCAAAACUAACCGUCACCGGCAAUUUUCCUAGAGACUUCGGAACUUUACCGGUUAAAUGAUUAAACGAGAGGUUUAGCGUUCCGGUGAGUGAGUUUAACUCACCGAUUUGUUCUGGAAUUGAACCUUCUAGAACAUUUGCUGAUAAGUCUAACUGAACGAGAUUCUUCAGCUUCUUCCAUGGCGUCACCGGAAUGUAACCGGAGAAAUUAUUCCUCGCGAGAAUCAGUCUCUGAAGCUGUGAACAGUUUCCGAUCGACUGAGGAAUGUUUCCGGCGAGUGAAUUGUCAGAGAGGUCAAGAUUUUGAAGACGAGGAAGGUUACACGCCGACGGGGAGAGAUUACCGGAGAGAUUGUUUCCAUGGAGGAAGAUGCUGUGAAGGGAACUAGCAUUGAAGAGCUGAACGGGAAUGGAGCCAUGGAAGAGGUUAGUAUGGAGGCUAAGACGACGGAGGUAGAUAAGGUUUCCGAGCUCCGACGGGAGAUAACCACGGAGACCUUUUCCGGCGAGUCCAAUACCGACGACACGGGAGUCAGGCUCCCCGGAGAUGUUGGAGCAGCUAAUGCCGGACCAGUGACAGGGUGUAAGGUCGUUUUCGUUCCAGUCGGAGAAUGUAGUUGCGGUGUCACCGCCGUCGACGGCGGAUUUGAGUGUUAGAAGAGCGAGGCCGUCGGAGGAGAGAGAAACGACGGGAUGAAAAAAGAAAAGGAGGAUGAAGAAGGAGAAAAGAAUAAUUUGCAUUUAGAAUUUGAAGUACGACGCCGUUUUGGGUUGUGUUGGUUAGAGUUAAGUACGGUACGGUGAGUUCAGUUGAGUUCAGUUGAAUAUGAGGAUGAGGAUUGAGAAAGUGAAGUAGGUUUGUAUUUAUUUAUGAAGAGAAAUAUCAAUACUAUGGGGAAGAUGAGAUUUUAAUUUGGUGGGGUCCAUUUGGCGCCAAAAAGAUGAUUGAUUUUGUUAAUGAAAAGAGUGGAGUGAAAGAGAAGUAACAUGAUAUUGUAAUAAUGUCUGUAUUUGGAUACAAUACAACAUGAAAUUGGAUCAAUGGAUUUGGAAAUUAUGUUGAGUUUCUAAUGUUGAAAUGAUUGUGCUCAACAGUGAAGUUAGGUUAUAACAUGAUCAUUUUAGAAGUGAAGAGUGUUCGGUCGGAUUCUUUAUUUUGACUAAAUUGUUUGUGAAUGGUACUUGAGUGAUGUAUGGGAAAAAUCAUUGCUUGGAUGUUUUUAUUUGUUUAAUGAGGCUUAAAUCUAGACAGGACAAUAUUGAUAAAUUGUUU
rnacentral:lncRNA from 1 species